rnacentral:rRNA from 1 species
UUUAAAGAGAGUUUGAUCCUGGCUCAGGACGAACGCUGGCGGCGUGCCUAAUACAUGCAAGUCGAACGAACGGAGGAAGAGCUUGCUCUUCCAAAGUUAGUGGCGGACGGGUGAGUAACACGUGGGCAACCUGCCUGUAAGUUGGGGAUAACUCCGGGAAACCGGGGCUAAUACCGAAUGAUAAAGUGUGGCGCAUGCCAUGCUUUUGAAAGAUGGUUUCGGCUAUCGCUUACAGAUGGGCCCGCGGUGCAUUAGCUAGUUGGUAGGGUAAUGGCCUACCAAGGCAACGAUGCAUAGCCG